rnacentral:lncRNA from 1 species
GAUCCAGAUCCGUUUUGAUUGGUUAUGGAUUUGUUGGAUAGAUCGAUUAGCCAACGUAAAGCGCGUGGGAGGAGUCGUUUUGGUGUGCCUUCGGGUUCUGAGAGGAAAAAGGCGAUGAAUGCAGCGGGAAUUCCCGCACUUCUUCUUAGUAAGUCGUCUACUGUUUGUUCUUUGGCUAUUGUUCUUUCCAUUAGUUGUUCCAUCCAUGAUUCUGGUAAUUUGCUAAGUCUGGAAUGUGAAGAUGGAAUUAAUUAGAACGAUGGAAUUAGGGAAGGAAUGGAAUGAUGUGUAAAGGAAUAUGAUUCCUUCUAUGAUGGAAUGAAGGAGGUGGGGGAAUGGAUCGGUGAAUUUCAUUAUCAUGUUUGGUUUGUUAAAGGAAUGGAAUGAGUCAAUUCAUGUUUGUUAUGUACAAUAGAAAAGCGAAUAAAUGAAUACAGAAAAAAAAAAAAAAAAAAAAAUGUAUAUAUAUGAUUUAUAAAGGAUUAAUCUUAUAAAACACCUUUUAUUUAUGUGUUCUUUUUCUGGAUUAAACCACAACUUUAUAUUUUUUUCUGAAAAAGAACCUUGAUUUUUUUUCAUUUUUUUCAAUCUGGCCCUUUUACUUUUUUUUUUCGGGUUUUUAUGCAGAAAAGUCACAUUAUUUUGGAAAAAAAAUUUGAUAGUGUAAAUGUAUUUUUUUUUUAACACAAAAGUCUUUCAUUUCCUGUUUUUUUUUUUUAAAAAAAAACUUUUUUAUUAAUUUUGGCAAAAUGUUAAAUAAUGAGCACUUUUAUGUUCAAAAAAAAAUUAGAACAUUAUUAAAAAAAUUCCCCAAUAAUGGGACUUUUCUGCAUAAAACCUUUUUUUUUCAAAAGCUCUUGUAAAAUGUGAGGGUUUUAAUCGGAAAAAAACUAAAAAAAGUUGAGGGUUUUUUCAUAAACAGUUCGAAGGUUGAGAGUUUUUUUUCGGAAAAAAAAAAAAAAAGACAAAUUUGAGGGUUUUAUUCGGGAAAAAUGAAAAAAUACAAAGUCUUUUUCAGGAAAAAAACAAAUAAAGUUGAGGUUUAAUCCGGAAAAAACACAAAAUAUAAGGUCUUUUAUAAGAUUAAACCUUUUAUAAAAACAAAACUUUAUUCAAAAAUGCAUAUAAACGUAUUUCAUGUUACUUGAAAUGUAUAUACUAUACUUAUUUAAAGUUGUCAAUAAAAAUUAUUUAUCACUUCGAAAAAACUGUUGACAAAAAAAGUUGAAUAAAAUUAAAUACCAUGAAAUCUUGAAAUGGGAAAAUUAUAAUUAACAAAUAUUUUUGGUUAUGUAUAGCAAAAAAUAACAAAAAGUAAUUUAUACUAGUAAUAACAUAUAAUUCCAUUCCAUCAAGGAAUGAAAAGAAAACAACAAUACUCCUCCAUGGAAAGGAAUCAUAUUCCAUUAAGAAUCCUCCAUUCCAUUCCAUUCUAUCCAAAACAAACAGAUACAAUAAUUCCAAAAACAUACCUUGGAUUAUCUGAGCAAAGUAAUCGAUUGCAUAAAGCAGUAAAACCUGCCCUUGUUUUAUCAAUCGCACCAUUAUGCUUCAUUUUCAUUAGAACUUCCAAAAAGUGAUUCCCAAUAGUCUCUAACUGAUUGAAAUCCAACACAACAUCAUCCGAAUCCUUUGAUAUAUCUGAUGUAGGCAAAGGAAUUUUCCUUAUAAUAGUUCCCAAAAGAAGACUCACCUGAGAAUCACAUAACAAACAACUUCAUUAAAACUGAUUACAUGAUAUUAAAUACGGAAAAUAGUAUAAAAGUCACUAUGUUCGCACCAAAAUUUAUAAUGACACCUUUUUUUUUCUCAAAUUUGACAUUGUGUUUUUUCCAAUUUUUUACAAUUCUGACCAUUUUACGGCCUACUGACAUGGCAUGAUGAUGUGGGACGUGUUAAAUUUGAAUUUUUUUUCCAUAAAAGACACUAAGUUUUCACUUGUUUCGACUUUCACACUAAGUUUUAAUUUUUCUUUUUCAAUCUUGACACUAUUUUUUUGUUCCAAAUCGAACAUCAUUUUCUUCCAAUUUUCUUUAAUGUAAAAAAACCUUGUAAUUAUACAAACAUGUGGUUUUUAAAUGAAAAUAUAUAUAUAUAUAUAUAUAUAUAUAUAUAUAUAUAUAUACACACACUNAUGGUCAACAUUGAACAAAAUUUUAAAAAAAAAAAAAACGAGGUUCAAUGUAGAGAACAAAAAAAUAGAGUGUCAAAAUUGAAACAAGAAUUAAAACUGUGUUAAAAUUGAAAAAAGUGAAAACUGAGUGUCUUUUGUGGAAAAAAAAAUCAAUUUUAACUCGUCAUCAUGCCACGUCAUCAAAACCACAUAUCAUCAUGCCACGUCGGCAGACAACCGAGUUGACCCGGUAAAAUGGUCAGAAUUGUAACAAAAUGGAAAACACAAUGUCAAAUUUGAGACCAAAAAAACACACACACACGGUGGCAAAUUAGAACUUUGGUGUGAAAUUAGUGACUUUUGUGCUAUUUUCCCUAUUAAAUAACAAGUUUUAGAUAAUGAAUACUUGAGUAUUGAGUAUUGAGUACCUCUUUCAUUGCAAGCCAACAACCAACCAUAACAACUUGAUCAGAAGGUCCAACAUCCUGCACCAAUUUUGACCCAUUCGUUUCUUUUUCAGCAUCCACAUCAGCAUCCACGUCAGCAUUACCUUCCCCCCACAUGUAAGAAUCAUCAUCAACAUCCACAAGGUCAUCCUCAUCCAUGUCAUCAGGUAUAUGCCACGCAUCAGCCGAAACCACAGAAAGAGCCAUUGAAGUAAUUCUCAU